AUUGAACGCUGGCGGCAGGCCUAACACAUGCAAGUCGAGCGAGCGGCGGACGGGUGAGUAAUGUCUGGGAAACUGCCUGAUGGAGGGGGAUAACUACUGGAAACGGUGGCUAAUACCGCAUACCAUCAGAUGGGCCCAGAUGGGAUUAGCUAGUAGGUGGGGUAACGGCGACCCUAGGCGACGAUCCCGAGCUGGUCUGAGAGGAUGACCAGCCACACUGGAACUGAGACACGGUCCAGACUCCUACGGGAGCCAGCAGUGGGGAAUAUUGCACAAUGGGCGCAAUCCUGCUGCAGCCAUGCCGCGUGUAUGAAGAAGGCCUUCGGGUUGUAAAGUACUUUCAGCGGGGAGGCGUUACCCGCAGAAGAAGCACCGGCUAACUCCGUGCCAGCAGCCGCGGUAAUAC
rnacentral:rRNA from 1 species